GGGCAUGUGGUGUAACUGGUACCCCUCUGGGUCUCACUUUCCGGCCCCCAGAGUUGUCGGUUCGAAUCCGACCGCGUCCA